UAAUCGAUCGAGUGUCCGCACUGCUGU
rnacentral:piRNA from 1 species